AGGUGAUCUCGGCCUAUGUGGCGU
rnacentral:piRNA from 1 species